rnacentral:SRP_RNA from 1 species
UACCAGCCGGGGGAGCAGCGGGUCCCUGUACUCGAAGUCCGCUACAGCGAGGGUGGAUUCCCGACAUGAGGGGAAAGCUUGUGUAGUCUGUGUCACAAUGAAAGUGUUGACGAAUGGGUCUUGCGCGAUUGGCGGCUGUGAACCAUGUCAGGUGGGGAACCAAGCAGCAUUAAGCAGUUUAGUUGAUGCGCCGCAGGGUAGCCUGUUCCGAGCCGGAAUUCUGACG